ACCAAACAAGAGGAAUCUGCAUUCUUUCGUUCUGAACAGUUCAAAACUUUAUUCAGACUUGACAGUGUUCAAUUCAGUUAGGUUUAGGAUUUUCUGCAGUUCAGUUUAGUUCAGAAAUAUGGACGGGUUGAUUUGGUUUUAAGUCAGGCAAACUGUGCUAAUGCUAUUCUUCAGCAAAAUAUAAAAUCUUGUGUGAGUCCCGAUUCCCAAGGAUGAGAAAUUAGCAAUACUAUGCACUACUAGACUGAAGAAAAAUUUUGCUAUUGUUCAGAAUUCAGAGUCAUCUCAUUUCAGACUUUGUAGAUCAUAAAAAAUAGGUUACUUUUGCUGAUAAUAAUUCGUUACCGGGAACCAAAAAUUAUUGGACCCCCAUUUACUAAGACUGGAUCUUGUCAUGCCCAUUGUACAACUCGGUGUUGUCUCAUUCUCAUUGGCAUGUUGUUGUUUACAAUGCUAAUGCACGUGACCUGAGGCCCGGCUCGGUUGUCAACAGAACAGGGCCAGCCGGCCAAGAAAGGCUUAUGCCUAAAGACCCAAACGCCACUAUUAUCAUGGUUAGCCUGAACCCCAGUGCUAACAGAUCCAGCAAUUCAUCCAUCACAAGCUAAGCAGACACUCAACUUACAUCAUCGUCGAUUGGUUGUUGCUUGCGACAUGGACCGGCAUCGCGCCGUUCCUGUCAUUCUUUUGGAAAAUAUACUACGAGAAGUAUGAUGACUACAAGGAAACAUGAAUCAACAAUUAACGCGUGAAUCCGUGUGUUGUGGUUCAGUUCAAUUGCAUAGCAUGGCUCUUAUUGGGAGUUCCGACCAGCAGCUCUUUGCUUUAUCCGGAGGUUAGAACGCCGAUCAUCUUCAUGAGUGUUGCUUCCUCGUUUCCGGACGGCGUUUAAUCAUGCUCCAAGACGAGACCUUGACAAGGGUAUGCAUUUUGGCAUGCCCGUCGACAAGGGGCCCUGUUUGCGGCGGCGAAGGUGAAUGUGUGGGAUUCUUCUUCCACAGACCACCCUGAUUGGAUUGAUGGGGAUUCAUUCUUUGGUGAAUGUGUGGGAUUCUUCUUCCACAGACCACCCUGAUUGGAUUGAUGGGGAUUCAUUCUUCUCCCACUCCGACGCCUCCCUCCCGUCCUUAUCGAGAGGAAGUUGUAUCCAAAUGUGGAUAUUUACUCUGGUCUGAUAUAUAGGCCACCCGGAAGUUUGAUGUUGUGAAAGGCGAGAAGACGGAUGAAUGGAUGGAGCUUGUAGCACCGCUUGGUCGUAAUUUGGUUGGUGUGAAGCUAGUGCCUGAUUGCUUGCUGGGUGCUAGCUCUUAGCUCCUUUUGUAUUCAAGAACGCGAGGAAGGUACGUCUCUCAGUGCGUAGAAACCCACCUGUCACCAUUCAUUCAAAUAAAAGAAUGACAACACGAGCAAGCAAGGAAGGAAGGGACAACCGUGAGUAGUGGAAGCUGUUAGAUUCUUAGCUUUAUUUCACUUGUGUUGGGGAAAUGAUUUGGUAUGAUGAAACAUAAUAUGGAAUGUUUCAUUGACCGACUUGGGAGUGCAUGAAUGAUGAAUUUUGGAAUAUAAUACGGCUUCAUUUUACUUGUUGAUUUUGAUUCUUCUCCAGGAGUUAUGCUGCUGAAAUUUCUAGUGAAAAUCUGCACGACUAAUAUGAUGAA